UACGUAGGGUGCAAGCGUUAAUCGGAAUUACUGGGCGUAAAGCGUGCGCAGGCGGUUGUGCAAGACAGAUGUGAAAUCCCCGGGCUCAACCUGGGAACUGCAUUUGUGACUGCACGGCUAGAGUGUGUCAGAGGGGGGUAGAAUUCCACGUGUAGCAGUGAAAUGCGUAGAUAUGUGGAGGAAUACCGAUGGCGAAGGCAGCCCCCUGGGAUAACAC
rnacentral:rRNA from 1 species